rnacentral:rRNA from 1 species
CCUUAGAGUUUGAUCCUGGCUCAGGACGAACGCUGGCGGCGUGCUUAACACAUGCAAGUCGAACGGAAAGGCCCUUCGGGGUACUCGAGUGGCGAACGGGUGAGUAACACGUGGGUGAUCUGCCCUGCACUUUGGGAUAAGCCUGGGAAACUGGGUCUAAUACCGAAUAUGACCACUCUCUUCGUGGGGUGUGGUGGAAAGCUUUUGCGGUGUGGGAUGGGCCCGCGGCCUAUCAGCUUGUUGGUGGGGUAAUGGCCUACCAAGGCGACGACGGGUAGCCGGCCUGAGAGGGUGACCGGCCACACUGGGACUGAGAUACGGCCCAGACUCCUACGGGAGGCAGCAGUGGGGAAUAUUGCACAAUGGGCGCAAGCCUGAUGCAGCGACGCCGCGUGAGGGAUGACGGCCUUCGGGUUGUAAACCUCUUUCACCAGGGACGAAGCGCAAGUGACGGUACCUGGAGAAGAAGCACCGGCCAACUACGUGCCAGCAGCCGCGGUAAUACGUAGGGUGCGAGCGUUGUCCGGAAUUACUGGGCGUAAAGAGCUCGUAGGUGGUUUGUCGCGUUGUUCGUGAAAACUCACAGCUUAACUGUGGGCGUGCGGGCGAUACGGGCAGACUAGAGUACUGCAGGGGAGACUGGAAUUCCUGGUGUAGCGGUGGAAUGCGCAGAUAUCAGGAGGAACACCGGUGGCGAAGGCGGGUCUCUGGGCAGUAACUGACGCUGAGGAGCGAAAGCGUGGGGAGCGAACGGGAUUAGAUACCCCUGUAGUCCUGGCCGUAAACGAUGAACACUAGGUGUCGGGGGAAUCGACCCCCCCGGUGUCGUAGCCAACGCGUUAAGUGUUCCGCCUGGGGGGUACGCACGCAAGUGUGAAACUCAAAGGAAUUGACGGGGGCCCGCACAAGCGGUGGAGUAUGUGGUUUAAUUCGAUGCAACGCGAAGAACCUUACCAGGGCUUGACAUCCUGCGAAUCCCUUGGAAACGAGGGAGUGCCUUCGGGAGCGCAGUGACAGGUGGUGCAUGGCUGUCGUCAGCUCGUGUCGUGAGAUGUUGGGUUAAGUCCCGCAACGAGCGCAACCCACGUCGUUAGUUGCCAGCAUUCAGUUGGGCACUCUAGCGAGACCGCCGGUGAUAAACCGGAGGAAGGUGUGGAUGACGUCAAGUCAUCAUGCCCCUUACGUCCUGGGCUACACACGUACUACAAUGCUACGGACAAAGGGCAGCGAACUCGCGAGAGCAAGCAAAUCCCAUAAACCGUGGCUCAGUUCAGAUCGUAGGCUGCAACUCGCCUACGUGAAGGAGGAAUCGCUAGUAAUCGCAGGUCAGCAUACUGCGGUGAAUACGUUCCCGGGCCUUGCACUCACCGCCCGUCA